CAUGCGCGGAGACUGAGAUUCUCGUCGCAAAUGUCAGCGACGCGAACAAACACCGACAUACUCUCUCAGCAGUUCAGGACAAGAAAUGAGUGAUUUCUACAGCCGUGACGUUCAUUCUCAAUAAAACAUACAAGCUUAAAGCGAAAGGAACUGACGGAGACAUGGAGCAGGAGUUUGAGGACAUAGACUCAGAGGGCCGCUGGCAGAAUCUUUAUUUAGAAAUACGCAACCAAUCACACGAAUGUGCUUUCAAAGUGGCCAAGUAUCCGGAGAAUCGCAAUCGGAACAGAUACAGAGACGUGAGCCCUUUUGACCACAGUCGGGUGAAAUUAGAAAGCACAGAAAAUGACUACAUCAAUGCCAGUCUGGUGGUAAUGGAAGAAGCCCAGAGAAGAUACAUACUUACCCAGGGUCCUCUGAGAAACACCUGUGGUCACUUUUGGCUGAUGAUCUGGGAGCAGGAGACCAAAGCUGUUAUCAUGCUCAACAGAGUAAUAGAGAAAGGCUCUGAAAAGUGUGCACAAUACUGGCCGACACAAGAAGAACGAGAGAUGUCGUUCCGUGACACUCGAUUUGUGGUAACACUAGUGUCAGAGGACGUAAAGUCAUAUUAUACCACCAGAGUGCUGGAACUCCAGAAUGCAAAUACGGGGGAGACAAGAGAGAUCUAUCACUUUCACUAUACCACAUGGCCUGACUUUGGCGUCCCAGAAUCCCCAGCCAGCUUCCUGAAUUUCCUGUUUAAGGUGCGGGAAUCUGGCUCACUCGGGAUGGAUCAUGGUCCAGCAGUUGUCCACUGCAGUGCAGGAAUCGGCCGAUCGGGAACAUUCUCCCUUGUCGAUACUUGUCUCGUCUUGUUGGACAAAAGGAAAGACACGUUGGAGGUGGACAUCAAAAAGAUUCUUCUAGACAUGAGGAAGUAUCGGAUGGGUUUGAUUCAGACCCCAGACCAGCUGCGUUUCUCCUACAUGGCUGUCCUGGAAGGUGCCAAGUACAUUAUGGGAGACUCAUCUGUGCAGAAACAGUGGCGAGAGCUUUCCAGAGAGGACCAAGAGCCCAUAUCCGAGUCUCCCCCACCGCCACAGCCUCCUAAAUGCACAGAACGCUACAACGGCAGCAAGCUUUCUCAUCUGGAGGACGGGAUGGACCCAAAGACAGGAAAGAAAACCGGCCUAGAGACCCCCAAUAAAGAAUCAGACAGAGAUGCUGGAACAUAUGGUCGCAAAAGACAAAGAGACGACAAAAUGUCCAACCCCAAUCAGAAGACCCAGAAGCAGACAAAACCCAGGAUAACCGACCCUGAUAAGAAAAGAAAAAGUCUGGGCUGUAUUUGCUGUACGUGACACAGCGAGUGCUGCCCUGUUGGGAAACCUCCCCAGUGAGGCAGCAAUGGCGCAUCUGCGGGAUUUUUGUAAAGACAAGCUUGUCCGGGCUCUUCAGAAUCCUCCGGCUAGCGAGAACAACCAGUGACUCCUAACUCCAUGGCAACCUCAGCGAGAGAUCUCCAUCCCAUAAUGCCCUCCCAUCCACCCCUGUGUAUGAACUCUUCUUUGAACAUGAAGGUUUCUCCACUCCGAACAACAGCACACACCAGCACUAUAUCUGUGGAUGAAACUGUGAUAUAUAGAGGACAACGCAUCGCCAUGGUUUGGAUUGGUUUUAAUUUCAUUGGACCUAUUUAGUCUUUGUUUUUUUUUUGCUUUUUGUUUUGUUGGAAAAAGCAGCAGGAUCUGAAGUAGGUCUAUGCAUUUAUAAUGCUGUUCAUACAUUGUAUUUUUAGACUACUUUUUUUCAGAGGCAAAAUGAAAUGCUCUAUUUUUUAUAUGAAAUUACUUGAAAUUUCCUAUCAUAUCUACAGGGCUUGUAUGCUCAAAUCCAGUUUGUGAGAUUGAUAAACGAUGUCUUAAGCUGAAGAGUGCUCACGUUGUGUACAUAGUGUACCUUAUGAGAUGUAAAAAAAAAAAAGAAGAAAAAACUGAUUGUACAAAAUGAUGAACAGACAUUGCAUUUGGUUACGACACAGCGAACAAACCAGCAGUGUCUGAGUGUUGAACAGUCUUACUUUUCUUUAUCCAAGAGUAGGAUCCAUGAAUAAAACUGCUAUCGUUUAGUUUCUGUAACAG